GAAAUGAGGGACGAGUUGUGUUUUUAUUUUAUCUGAUUAUCAGGAAAAGAGAAGUUUGAAGAGCGCCGCAGAGAGGGGAGAGGAGAGGGCUUGUAAAGAACGAGAGGGGAGGAGAGAGAGAGAGAGAGAGAGGGAGGGAGAGAGGAAGAGGAGGGAGAGAGGAAGAGGAAGGGGGAGACAGAGAAGAAGAGAGACAGACGGACGGAUGGAGGAGAAGCAUGCAGCCGCGAAGAGGAGGAGAAACAAAGCGUGUUGACGGAGGAAGUGAACAUGUGCUCAGCAGACGGAUCCAGCAGAAGGAGACUGAGGAGUCUGAACACCGACUGAUUUCACUCCGCAACACCCAGGAAUCCAGAGUCAACUCUUCGUGAAGCACAUCAGCCGAGAACCAGAGCUCCGUCCUGCAGUGACCAGAACUGAACGGAGGACACACUUAAAAGAAAAGACAGAAAAACUGAGGAAAGGAAGAAGAAGAAGAAGAAGAAGAAGAAGAAGGGGGGGGUUCCCUCAUUCCAAGCUCAGCGCCGGGAGGAAACUCUCACCCAGACGGGUUGGCUGGUUCUGCAGAGAUGGGUCCAGAUAAACAUCCAUGAGUUCCCAGAGGUAUUCCAAAGAAAGAUGGGAGUCUUCAUGUGCGUCACGUCUCGUGUCUCUGUGGCUGCUGUCAGUUGCUCAGUAGGCAGUGUAGAUCCUGUGUAGAAAUCAGCAGCUACAUCUGGCUACUGGGUCUCUGACGGCUCUGCCUACUUCCUGGUCGAGCCAUACACGCUCCUCUCUCAUUGGCUGGUGGCGCAUUCCAACUCCUCUGAUUAGCUGUGAAGACAGGAGUGGUGGGGGCUUCAUCCUGUGACCCCCACAGACAGGAUGUUCUCUGUGUCACAACUCCACAAGGGGCCCUUGUCAAGGCUUUUUGUGGGUUUUCUUUCACUUCUUCCUCUUCCGCCAUUCUUUUAAACUCUUCCCCCCUCAAGGUCCUCUUUGUGUGAAAUGUCCUAGCAGUCACAUCGAUUUCAAGAAGUUACUUUGGUGAAAGAGACGCAUUUAAGGUGACAAUUUAAACUUUUAUGUAGAGAAAACAUAGAUAAAACAUAAAAUAAAUACUGUGUUAGCGACCUGUCAAUCACAAGGUAGCCCCGCCUUAAGCAUACACUACUUUAUUUUACUCUAAAUAUGACCAUAAAUCACAAAAUGAACGUCAUGCUGUAUUAAGAAGAUUUCAAACUGGAUAUAUAGAACAUUAACUUGAUAGGAAAAUGUGUACUGAUGUAAUAAAUCAAGUGAGAAGUUGGAUAAUUUUCUCGUGGACUUCUAUAGAUUUGCUAGAUAUUACAAAGAAUGAAGGUUUGGUUGUAUUCUGUUUGCUAUUCAGAACAUGGAGGUUGAGAAGCAUUCACUCAUGCAUGUUUGAAAGGCCUUCAAGGUGAAAGAAACGACCCUUUGCUUUGUCCUGAACCUGGCAUACAAUGUAGAUUUCUGUGUGGUUUAUUUCUACAGCUACAUUGUCUGCUGGGUUUCUGGCUAGCAAUAUAUGCAGCAAAAACAUAACCAUUAAUUAUAAAUAAGAAGGUAAGUAUUCAUCAGUUCUGUCAAUGUGCCUCGACUAACUGACCCUGAUGAUUCAAUAAAAAAAAUGUUAAGACCA